rnacentral:rRNA from 1 species
GACGAACCGUGCGAACGUUGUUCGGAAUUACUGGGCGUAAAGGGCGCGUAGGCGGACAGUUUAGUCAGAGGUGAAAGCCCAGGGCUCAACCUUGGAAUUGCCUUUGAUACUGGCUGUCUUGAGUUCGGGAGAGGUGAGUGGAAUGCCGAGUGUAGAGGUGAAAUUCGUAGAUAUUCGGCGGAACACCAGUGGCGAAGGCGACUCACUGGCCCGAUACUGACGCUGAGGCGCGAAAGCGUGGGGAGCAAACAGG